ACAGAACCACAAGUUGGGUAGCCUGGCAGUGUCAGAAGUCUGAGCCCAGCAUAGUGGUCAGCAGGCAGGACCAAUCACACUGGCUGCAAACCACAGGGUUUCAUAGAACAUCAUCAAGCCACGGCCAAGACGCCGCUCUUUUUUUUUUUUUAAAUCUUUAACAAUUUGAAUAUUUGUCUUCGUGAAGGUAGAAGAAAUCAUUGAAUCCCCCGCCUUCAGAAGAGGGUGCCUUUUCAGGAGGAAGCGAUGGCUUCAGACAGCAUAUUUGAGUCAUUUCCUUCAUACUCACAGUGCUUCAUGAGAGGUGAAUACUGAAGUGGCAGCCUGUUGGAACUCGGGGCAGAGAGCCCCUGUCUGUUUUGUGGGAGGAAUUCAAACUCGGGCAUAUGAUUACAAGGCUAUUGGAUUACUUAUUCAUCAGAUGGCUGCUUUUCAGAAAUGUUUUAAGAAAUACCGUGUUAAGCUGUUGACGUGUUCCGUCGGUGCGUGAGCGCUUUGUCAAGUUCAAGUGAAUUAGGCUGCUCCCGAUGAAAAGCCUAGAGAUUAUAAAGCCUGCAGGAAGCUCUCUGUGUUUUCUUUGGUUGCCCCUGGCCUGAGAGGACGGUGGCUGAGUUGUCCUGAGUUCGGCGUGCUGUGUGGCCCACACCCCAGCCUGGCCAGAGCUUUAGCGGGGCACAUGCACAGCUGGCCAAGGAGGGCUGGUGCCAGGGUGGUGCGGAGGCGGAGGUAGGCUUCCAGCCCGGGGAAGGAACAGCGGGGACAAAGUUGCAAGUCAGUUGUCUCCAAAAGGCAGAGAGUACAGUAGCCGGACAGGCUGGUCUAGGUUGAAAGCCCCAAGACGGGGCUGUGCUGGGUUACUCCUUGCAACCUCAGUGCAAUGAAGCAGCCGGCAUCUUUCAAGAGAGAAAGCAGAUAAAGCGUACAGAGAUCUCUCUCUCCAAGUGCAAUGAAGGAUUUUCCAAAGUCAAGUGUUUGUGGCUGCCGAAGUCACUAGAUUGCAUGCUUCCUAAAAGAAGUACCUGUCUGCAUUUCUGCAACUGGUCUCUUGAAAUGUGCAAAGCUAUAGUUGAGCUCUAAGUGUGUGAGUACGUGUGGGUGCAUGUGUGUUUUGUGCAUCUUUGGUGGAGAAACAGGGCCGUGCUUAACCAAAUGAAAAUAAUAACAUAGAAAUGUCCCCAAAGCAUUGCAGUGUGUCGAGGCAAGCACUUUGACCGGUGCCUGCAGAGUGUGGCUUGAUGGUUUGGCAGAGUUGAGACAGAGUGGGAUGGAUGGGAUGGGGGGAUAAUUAAUUUUCUGGCUACAAACUCAAGAGCACACCCCAAAUAGUAUCUGUGACUCAUUAUUUAUUCAUACAGCCAAGUGAGCAGAAGAAUGCAGAAGGCAGAGGGCUGCCAGCCACUUUGUCACAACAAACGCUAUUGUGGAUGCCACAGAGCCUCUAUGUUUCCGGGUUUCUUGAAAUUUAAACACUUGGCAAAGAUGUGUGUGUGUGUGUGUGUGUGUGUGUGUGUGUGUGUGUGUGUGUGUGUUGGGGGGUGGUGUUCAGGAGAAGGGGAAGAAAGCAAGUCAUUAACCGAUUCAAAGCUUCAAAUUAAAGGGUUUUCAAGUGCUUCUUUACUGGCAGCUGAGGACAUUUUAGUGAAGUUGAAUCAUGCGAUGCUUAUGAGUCACACAUCCUCAGGGCGCUGGGCUCCCCAGGCAGAAACGCCAGCCACUGGUGAGAAGCUGUGAACGGCUCUCUCUCUCGCUGCAUUUCCUCUGGGCCGCUAACAAGCAAAGGAAGCAAUAUUUGUAGAAUUACAGAAAAAAAAAAAAAGAUCUUCCUGCUUGACUCUUCUUUCAAUACCCACUCCAACUCAGGAAGGCAGAUUCAGGAAAUUUUUGAAACGUUCCACAGGAUGAUAGAUUGGAAUUCCACGUGGGUGCUGGCCUGCCUUCUGUGCUUCCAGAAUGGACAGAGAUAGCAAGGGGACCUAGUGACCCACGUAGACGCCGGGAGAGAAGCAGCCCGGCAGCUAAUCCAGCCCCUGCAGCCACUGCGUAACCUGGACUGUCACUCAUGCCCCCCCACCCCAGGUUAGGAAAUGGGGACAGUUAGCUUUCAAGGGGGGCCAUGUGGAGGGGACUUUAAGACCACCACCCCCCAACCAAUACUCAAAAGGCUCAUAGGAAAUGGGCCUUUCAUGCCUUCCUGUCAGUAAAAAGAGCUCAGGGCCUUUCCUAAUCUCUAACUCAAGAACAUAAUAUUGAGAUUUCAUUGCAGAGAAUAAAAGUGAAAACCUUGGCCAUUUCAUAGCUAACUUGACCAAGGUGAUUCAUCAGUCUGAGAGCUUAUACUAUCCGGGCUAACUGUCCACACCACUCCUCCGAGCUGGAAGGUGCCAAAAUGUCCCGGUUUAGGGGUCCCAUGUGGGCAUCGCCUUAGAGCAUGAUGCCAAAUGGUCUCCUCAAAGUUGGGACCUUUGUUUGCCCAGCCUGGCCAUCAGUGGGACUCAGAACUGUGGUCCUUUCUCACUGCCUGUCAUUUAUAGUGCGUGUCCCCUCCCCAACUGCAGCUCUGAGCGAGCAGGGG
rnacentral:lncRNA from 1 species